rnacentral:tRNA from 1 species
GUUCUUGUAGUUGAAUACAACGGUGGUUUUUCAAAUCAUUAGUCUUGGUUAAAGCCCUAGUAAGAAUU